ensembl:lncRNA
AUCAUUCUGAUCACAGUUCAUCAAAUAAGGUUUUAUUCAUAAUUUAUUCAUGGGGUGGCAGGGUAGCCUAGUGGUUAGAGUGGAGGGACGGCAGGUAGCCUAGUGGUUAGAGUGUAGGGACGGCAGGUAGCCUAGUGGUUAGAGUGGAGGGACGGCAGGUAGUUUAGUGGUUAGAGUGGAGGGACGGCAGGUAGCCUAGUGGUUAGAGUGUAGGGACGGCAGGUAGCCUAGUGGUUAGAGUGUAGGGACGGCAGGUAGCCUAGUGGUUAGAGUGUAGGGACGGCAGGUAGCCUAGUGGUUAGAGUGGAGGGACGGCAGGUAGUCUAGUGGUUAGAGUGUAGGGACGGAAGGUAGCCUAGUGGUUAGAGUGUAGGGACGGCAGGUAGCCUAGUGGUUAGAGUGUAGGGACGGCAGGUAGCCUAGUGGUUAGAGUGUAGGGACGGCAGGUAGCCUAGUGGUUAGAGUGUAGGGACGGCAGGUAGCCUAGUGGUUAGAGUGUUGGACUAGUAACUGGAAGGUUGCAAGUUCAAAUCCCCGAGCUGACAAGGUACAAAUCUGUUGUUCUGCCCCUGAUCAGGCAGUUAACCCACUGUUCCUAGGCAGUCAUUGAAAAUAAGAAUUUGUUCUUAACUGACUUGCCGAGUUAAAUAAAGGUCAAAUAAAUACAAAUGUAUCAUCUGGGAUAUUUUGGGGGGGAGAUUUCUGUAACUUAUUCAAAUGUAUUUUGAGGUAAAUAGCAGCACUGAAAUCUGCCUAAAAUAUAAUCUCCGGAAAUCAAUCAGAGGUGCAUAAAAGACAGUAGAGGGACAACGUGGAUGUCUUUCAACGACACUGCCGUGACCACAGACCUGACAGAGGAAAGCAUCUGUACGACGAGGUACCCCCCCUUUCUCCCAGACCAGCUUCGAGGUAACCCCCCUUUCUCCCAGACCAGCUUUGAGGUACACCCCCUUUCUCCCAGACCAGCUUCGAGGUACC